UCUGCCUGGUAGUGGGGGAUAACUUGCCGAAAGGUAAGCUAAUACCGCGUACGCCCUACGGGGGAAAGCAGGGGAUCUUCGGACCUUGCGCUAUCAGAUGAGCCCAAGCCGGAUUAGCUUGUUGGUGAGGUAAAGGCUCACCAAGGCGACGAUCCGUAGCUGGUCUGAGAGGAUGAUCAGCCACACCGGGACUGAGACACGGCCCGGACUCCUACGGGAGGCAGCAGUGGGGAAUAUUGGACAAUGGGGGGAACCCUGAUCCAGCCAUGCCGCGUGUGUGAAGAAGGUCUUCGGAUUGUAAAGCACUUUAAGUUGGGAGGAAGGGUUUGCGGUUAAUACCUGCGAAUUUUGACGUUACCAACAGAAUAAGCACCGGCUAACUUCGUGCCAGCAGCCGCGGUAAUACGAAGGGUGCGAGCGUUAAUCGGAAUUACUGGGCGUAAAGCGCGCGUAGGUGGUUUGUUAAGUUGGAAGUGAAAGCCCCGGGCUCAACCUGGGAAUUGCUUUCAAAACUGACAGGCUAGAGUACGGUAAAGGGUAGUGGAAUUUCCUGUGUAGCGGUGAAAUGCGUAAAUAUAGGAAGGAACAUCAGUGGCGAAGGCGACUACCUG
rnacentral:rRNA from 1 species